GGGAAAGUGGCUCAGUGGUAGAGCGCUUGCCUUGCCUGCAUGAGGACCUGGGUUCGAUUCCUCAGCACCA
rfam:Dipodomys ordii contig_38263, whole genome shotgun sequence.